rnacentral:rRNA from 1 species
AGAGUUUGAUCAUGGCUCAGAUUGAACGCUGGCGGCAUGCCUUACACAUGCAAGUCGAACGGCAGCACGGGCUUCGGUCUGGUGGCGAGUGGCGAACGGGUGAGUAAUGUAUCGGAACGUACCUUUCAGUGGGGGAUAACGUAGCGAAAGUUACGCUAAUACCGCAUAUUCUGUGAGCAGGAAAGCAGGGGAUCGCAAGACCUUGCGCUGAUUGAGCGGCCGAUAUCAGAUUAGCUAGUUGGUGGGGUAAAGGCCUACCAAGGCUACGAUCUGUAGCGGGUCUGAGAGGAUGAUCCGCCACACUGGAACUGAGACACGGUCCAGACUCCUACGGGAGGCAGCAGUGGGGAAUUUUGGACAAUGGGGGCAACCCUGAUCCAGCCAUGCCGCGUGAGUGAAGAAGGCCUUCGGGUUGUAAAGCUCUUUCGGCCGGGAAGAAAUCGCAUAGGUUAAUACCCUGUGUGGAUGACGGUACCGGAAUAAGAAGCACCGGCUAACUACGUGCCAGCAGCCGCGGUAAUACGUAGGGUGCGAGCGUUAAUCGGAAUUACUGGGCGUAAAGCGUGCGCAGGCGGUUUCGUAAGACAGAGGUGAAAUCCCCGGGCUCAACCUGGGAACUGCAUUUGUGACUGUAUAGCUAGAGUACGGUAGAGGGGGAUGGAAUUCCGCGUGUAGCAGUGAAAUGCGUAGAUAUGCGGAGGAACACCGAUGGCGAAGGCAAUCCCCUGGACCUGUACUGACGCUCAUGCACGAAAGCGUGGGGAGCAAACAGGAUUAGAUACCCUGGUAGUCC